GCUCUUGGGCCUUUGGCCACAGACUGAAGGCUAUACUGUCAGCUUCCCUACUUUUGAGGGUUGGGGACUUGCGUUGAGCCACUACUGACUUCCUUGCUCCUCAACUUGCAGAUAGCUUAUCCUGGGACUUGACCUUGUGAUCAUGAGGCAAUGUUUCAAGGGCAGGAACUUCCCAGUUACAUGACCGACCUGCCUUCGUUCAUAUCUCCAUCCGGGAGCUUAGAGGACUUUAACUUUCCAUCAAGGGAUGAUAGACUGCCCAGCUCUUGGAGUCGGAUACUUACUUGGAGGAACUCAUCGCGACACCGGGAUCCCCUCCCCAUUCCUGGGUGAGUGAGAGAUCAAGGGCUUGGAAGAACACAUCCUAUUGGGAGCGACCUGAGCCCAUCGUCUGCAAAUUUGGUCACAAUAAUGAAGAUGAAGACUAUUGACCUACCCAGAACUGGAAGUGCAUUUAGCAAUAGAUAGAAAUGAAGUGUACUUUUUGGAUGUGGUGCGAAAGAAAGUGAAAUCCCUAAGAUAUAGAGGUAAGUAACAAAUGCAACAAGUAACAUAACUUAAAGUAAUCGCCUCUGGGAAGCAGUGAAUGAUAGGACUAUUUUCGAAGAGCGGCUAAGAGACUAACAUUUCUCCUGAAGAAAGGCUUGCCACUUAAAGUGACAUAUGAGUUGGAGAAAUAAUUAUAAUUUUGCCAAAAAAAAAUCAUUUAAAAAGGAGAUUGUAUGAAAUGGGAGAAUAAAAUAUAAUACUAUCUAAGAGAAGAAACAAUGUUCUUGCAUGGGUAAGCAACCAUACUGACAGCAAAAGGAAUUG
rnacentral:lncRNA from 1 species